CAAAUUUCUGCCCUAUCAACUUUCGAUGGUAGAGUAGUGGUCUACCAUGGUUUCAACGGGUAACGGGGAAUUAGGGUUCUAUUCCGGAGAGGGAGCCUGAGAAACGGUACCACAUCCAAGGAAGGCAGCAGGCGCGCAAAUUACCCAAUCCCGACACGGGGAGGUAGUGACAAUAAAUACUGAUACAGGGCUCUUUUGGGUCUUGUAAUUGGAAUGAGUACAAUUUAAAUCCCUUAACGAGGAACAAUUGGAGGGCAAGUCUGGUGCCAGCAGCCGCGGUAAUUCCAGCUCCAAUAGCGUAUAUUAAAGUUGUUGCAGUUAAAAAGCUCGUAGUUGAACCUUGGGUCUGGCUGGCGGUCCGCCUCACCGCGUGCACUGGUCCGGCCGGGCCUUGCCUUCUGGGGAGCCGAUGGCCUUCACUGGGUGUGUCGGGGAACCAGGACUUUUACUUUGGAAAAAAUUAGAGGUGUGUCAAAGCAGGCCUAUGCUCGAAUACAUUAGCGUUGGGAUAAUAGAAUAGGACCGUGUGGG
rnacentral:rRNA from 1 species